rfam:Danio rerio chromosome 18, GRCz11 reference primary assembly.
GACACGGUGGCUCAGUGGUUAGAACUGUUGCCUCACAGCAAGAAGGUUGCUGGUUCAAGUCCUGUCUGGGUCA